UAAAAGAAAAUCACAAAAGUUUAACUUUUAGAAUCCCCAAAUCACCCCCAGCAAUCCCUAACUCCUUCCUCACUGAUCCCGUUUCUCUACGGUCGCCGCGAUUCAUAUUUUCCGGCCAGUGAACUUCACAAUUCUUCUCCGACCACCGCCGUAUACGCCGCCAUCUCCGUCUCCGUCUCCAUUGCCUGUGGAUUUUGAAGCACAAGAGAAGAAGGGCCCUGGAUUGACCAUUCCAACAAGUCGUCCACAUAGCUUUCUGGGUUGCGAACUAUAAUUGAGACAUAAGGAAGCGUCUGCACUAGGCAGACUCCAUGUGGGGAUGAUCUUUUACUAGUCAAGUCGAGGAAUGAAUGCCUGUUAAGGACUUGAUUAGCUGAUCUGCCAUUGUAGGGUUCCAUCCUCAAGCUAUUAUCAGCUUGGGAAAGGACGAAUUCGCUUCAUUUUGAAGUAGGCGUGCUAUGGAAUUGAAUGCUAGUGUGUCCACAAAAAGGACAAUGAACUCUAGGAAGACAGAUAUCGGAGGUAAACCCUUCAUACUCAUCAUUUGUGGCAGCCUCGUUUACUACCACUGUGCCUAUCGGAAUUCUAGUCUUGUCUCUCUCAUCUCAGACGUCUUUAUUGUACUCCUUUGUUCCCUUGCCAUUCUCGGACUCCUCUUUCGCCAGAUGAACAUCUCGGUACCUGUGGAUCCGCUUGAGUGGCAGAUCUCUCAGGACGCUGCCAACAUGUUUUUUGCCUGCCUCGCCAAUACCGUCGGUGCUGCUGAGUCUGUUCUACGUGUUGCUGCUACUGGCCAUGAUAAGCGCUUGUUCCUUAAGGUUGUGGCUGCUCUGUAUGUUCUAUCAUCUCUGGGAAGGAUAGCUUCGGGUGUUACCAUUGCGUAUGCUGGUCUCUGCUUUCUUUGCCUUUAUAUGCUCGCUGAGAACUUGCAAUUGAUUAGCUCGAGGUAUCCUAGGAGAAGAGACAGCACGGACACAGUUCAGGACGACUAAAUUGAUUUGAUCUGGUUCAAAAGGGAUGAAGGAGUCAAUGCAUUAUUUUCAGCUCUUGCUUCUAGUUAUGCCAGGAGAAUCCUAGCCAACUGUUGAAAGGUGUCAAAUUUUGCUAAAGUAUGAUACAGAGUCAUUAGAGAAUCAUAUUUGAAGAUUGUUACUUGAACUAGGGGUGUCAAAAUGAGCGCAAAUAUGGGUAACCUGCCCAAUUUGUCCAGAAUUUUAUGGGCAGUGCUCAAGAUAAUUUGAGUUAGGUUCAAUCUCAAUCUCAAUCUCAAUCAUUGCAUUAAUGUAAUGUAUGUUCUCAUAUUUAAGAUAUGAAUUACUAUCUAUUUUAUAUCUUCUACUAUUUA